GAUGAACGCUGGCGGCGUGCCUAAUACAUGCAAGUCGAACGGGGAAAGCUUUCGGGUGAGUACUAGUGGCGCACGGGUGAGUAACGCGUGGAUAAUCUGCCUUAGAGUGGGGGAUAACUAGUCGAAAGAUUAGCUAAUACCGCAUAAGACCACAGGAGCUGCGGCUCAAGGGGUCAAAGGUUUUUCGCUUUAAGAUGAGUCCGCGUAAGAUUAGCUAGUUGGUGAGGUAACGGCUCACCAAGGCGACGAUCUUUAACUGGUCUGAGAGGAUGAUCAGUCACACUGGAACUGAGACACGGUCCAGACUCCUACGGGAGGCAGCAGUAGGGAAUAUUGCACAAUGGAGGAAACUCUGAUGCAGCGACGCCGCGUGAGUGAUGAAGGCCUUCGGGUCGUAAAGCUCUGUCGCAGGGGAAUAACACAAUGAAGGUACCCUGUAAGAAAGGAUCGGCUAACUUCGUGCCAGCCGCCGCAGUAA
rnacentral:rRNA from 1 species